AAAUAGUGGAAAAGCCAUGGUAAUAUUUAAGCCAUUGUUGGCUUAAAAGCAGCCACCAACAAAAAAAGUGUUAAAGCUCAACA